rnacentral:rRNA from 1 species
GAUGAACGCUAGCGGCAGGCCUAACACAUGCAAGUCGAGGGGGAAGUUACUUUCGGGUGACUGAGACCGGCGUACGGGUGCGUAACGCGUAUACAAUCUGCCUUUCACUGGGGGAUAGCCCGAAGAAAUUUGGAUUAAUACCCCAUAGUAUAUAGGGACGGCAUCGUUUUUAUAUUAAAGCUUAGGUGGUGAAAGAUGAGUAUGCGUUCUAUUAGCUAGUUGGAGAGGUAACGGCUCCCCAAGGCGAUGAUAGAUAGGGGUUCUGAGAGGGAUGUCCCCCACACUGGUACUGAGAUACGGACCAGACUCCUACGGGAGGCAGCAGUGAGGAAUAUUGGACAAUGGUCGGAAGACUGAUCCAGCCAUGCCGCGUGCAGGAUGAAGGUCUUAUGGAUUGCAAACUGCUUUUGUAAGGGAAGAAUAAGGGCUACGCGUAGUUUGAUGACGGUACCUUACGAAUAAGCAUCGACUAACUCCGUG